AUGGAAAUCGAAUCAACCUUAUUUUGCACAAAAUCUUUAAAAAUAGCACGUACCGUGGGGGGUCCAGUGUUAAUCAGCGCUGAAGGGGGCAGGAGGCAGCUGGAGGUAGGGAGAGCAUCUUCCCUUCCUUCCCGGGAGCCCAGGGGUCCCUGCAGGGCCUGCGCCCCCACCCCGGGCCACCCCGCGGUCGGAGGACGAGGUGCCGCAGGAACCUCUUGCUUUUUCACUGGGGAAUCUGUAAGGAGGAGAGCAGGGCUGCCCCCCCAACGUGUCAGCAGGGCACCGUGUCCAAGCGCAGAAUCGCCCGCGGGGCCCCGGAGGACAAGGGGGCGGGGAAGUUGGACACAAAGAGUGUGGCCUUCGGCAGAGGCCCGAGGGGGGGUCCCCGCAAUGUUCGCGGGCGCAGCGGGGCCUCCGCGGGGGCCGUCCGGGUGCGGGUGGCCCCUGGCGCCCGAGCUCCGAGCUCCGAGCCUGCGAGCCUCGCGCGGUCCCGGCGACGGUGGGCGAAAGGCGGGGGGGCCGGGCCCGGGCCCCGCGGGGCCGAGCCUGGCGGCGGCGCGCGCUCCCUCACCCGAGCUGCGCGCCCCAGUGCACGCGCGCCCGGCGGAGGCGGAGGCCGCUCCCGCCCCCGCGGCGCGCUCCUCUGAGCGGCUGGGCCUCCGCGGACCGGGAACAAGAAGAGUGUGGUGACACCAUAUGGAAACACCUGAUGUUCCAACAAAGGAAGAGGCCCCUUCCCCUAAGUGAGGAAGGCCAGUUCUCCGGCCGUCAUGGUGUUUUCCUAGCACCCAGCCCCCCUCCACAAGUGAAUCAGACAGCCCCUCCCGCGGGGGUGAAGAGUGUGGAUGCCUGGACACAGACUACCGUACACCCGAGUCGCCCAUGGGAGUCUUACAAAUAAAAGGGAGCUCUGUGGGGUGCGCUGCA
rnacentral:lncRNA from 12 species